rfam:Glycine soja cultivar W05 scaffold317_60, whole genome shotgun sequence.
UUUUUAUUGGAUGAUGACUGCCACGUGUCAUGUUCUGAUUGUAUGAUGAAAACAACAAUGUAUUUCAUCUUUCAAGGAAUUGACAUCCAAUCAGAACAUGACACGUGGCAGUUAUCAUCC